GGGGAAUUUUGGACAAUGGGCGCAAGCCUGAUCCAGCAAUGCCGCGUGCAGGAAGAAGGCCUUCGGGUUGUAAACUGCUUUUGUCAGGGAAGAAAUCUUCUGGGUUAAUACCUCGGGAGGAUGACGGUACCUGAAGAAUAAGCACCGGCUAACUACGUGCCAGCAGCCGCGGUAAUACGUAGGGUGCGAGCGUUAAUCGGAAUUACUGGGCGUAAAGCGUGCGCAGGCGGCUUUGCAAGACAGAUGUGAAAUCCCCGGGCUCAACCUGGGAACUGCAUUUGUGACUGCAAGGCUAGAGUACGGCAGAGGGGGAUGGAAUUCCGCGUGUAGCAGUGAAAUGCGUAGAUAUGCGGAGGAACACCAAUGGCGAAGGCAAUCCCCUGGGCCUGUACUGACGCUCAUGCACGAAAGCGUGGGGAGCAAACAGG
rnacentral:rRNA from 1 species